rnacentral:rRNA from 1 species
UCGACUGUUUAUCAAAAACAUAUUUAAUAGAAAUAAUUAUUAAUGUAACCUGCUCAAUGAAAUUUAAAUAGCCGCAGUUCAUACUGUGCUAAGGUAGCAUAAUCAAUUGUCUUUUAAUUAAAGACUAGAAUGAAAGGUUCAACAUUUAGACUCUUUUCUUAAUUUAUUAAUUUAAAAUUAUUUUAAAUGUAAAAAAACAUUUAUAAAUAAGAAAGACGACAAGACCCUAUUGAACUUAACUCAAGUUAAACUGGGGCAGUUUAAUAAUUAAAAUUUAAUUCAUAUUCUCAAACAAAUGACCUAAUAAAAUUAAUUUAUUGAUCAAGUUACCAUAGGGAUAACAGCGUAAUAAUUUUCUAAAGAUAUUAUAUAAAAAAAAGAUUGCGACCUCGAUGUUGAAUUAAUAAUCUAUUUAACAAAAAAUUAAAAAAGAAAGUCUGUUCGACUUUUAAACAAUUACAUGAUUUGAGUUCAGACCGGUGUAAACCAGGUCGGUUUCUAUCUU